GAUGAACGCUGGCGGCGUGCCUAAUACAUGCCAGUCGAGCGAACAGACGAGGAGCUUGCUCCUCUGACGUUAGCGGCGGACGGGUGAGUAACACGUGGAUAACCUACCUAUAAGACUGGGAUAACUUCGGGAAACCGGAGCUAAUACCGGAUAAUUUAUUAAACCGCAUGGUUCAAUAGUGAAAGAGGGUUUUGCUGUCACUUAUAGAUGGAUCCGCGCCGCAUUAGCUAGUUGGUAAGGUAACGGCUUACCAAGGCGACGAUGCGUAGCCGACCUGAGAGGGUGAUGGGCCACACUGGAACUGAGACACGGUCCAGACUCCUACGGGAGGCAGCAGUAGGGAAUCUUCCGCAAUGGGCGAAAGCCUGACGGAGCAACGCCGCGUGAGUGAUGAAGGUCUUCGGAUCGUAAAACUCUGUUAUUAGGGAAGAACAAAUGUGUAAGUAACUAUGCACGUCUUGACGGUACCUAAUCAGAAAGCCACGGCUAACUACGUG
rnacentral:rRNA from 1 species